UCCCAUCGGGCCGCAGUAGUCCUCGUCGAUCACCCUACACCCAAUCGAGAAAGUGAAAACUUGUUAGUUAGCGCCCUUGUGCAGAUCCAGUAGGGUAUUUUUUUCAAUUAUCUGUCUCUUUUAGUCUAUUAUGAAUCUUCAAAACGGAAAAACACCUACUAAAUGCAUACCCUAGCUGUACGUGUUGAUGCUAUCUUCUUGUUUUGGUGCAUUCAAGAAAUACUAGUGUAUUUGAGCUAUAUAUGCUUGAAAUAUUUGAAAGUUAACAUAUGUUCAAAAUUUAUCAUUUCAUGGAUAGGGAAAUCGCCAACAAAGGACAUCAGAAAAUUGAUUCCCACUGCACUUCUAAACAGGGAAUAGGCGAAGUCUAUUUUUAAUUUUGAUAUUACAUGCCAACUUCAAGUAUAUAUGCUAGCAUGUAAUCUUUGAACGUGGAUCAAAAUGAGAUUUCAGGCUUUGUUGGCCUUACCAUGAUCAGUACUAAAUUCUCUAGGCUGCUCAACCUUUCCCUGUAGGGACUAGGGAGCAUUUCUUUCACCAGGUAUCUCAUUCUUAAGUUUGGGAAGAAACCUGCAUCCCUUCAGAUAGUCAUCCAUAUCCUGAAGAAAAAACAAUAUACAUUUUCAGUGACUCACAAUAUAUCAUCAAAUACUGCUCAGGUUUACUUCUAAGAAUA
rnacentral:lncRNA from 1 species